rnacentral:hammerhead_ribozyme from 1 species
UUCCAACUGAUGAGUCCCAAAUAGGACGAAAUGCAAAUCCUGGAU